rnacentral:rRNA from 1 species
AAUACUCCAACCCCAUGUGACAUUACCUCUAUGUUGCUUCGGCGGAGCCGCCCCGGCGCCCGGAACCCCCUGCGGUCCCGCGGCCCGGAACCAAGGCGCCCGCCGGAGGCCACAAACUCUUCUGUUUUUACAGUUUCUUCUGAGUGUGCCGCAAGGCAGUAUACAAAUGAAUCAAAACUUUCAACAACGGAUCUCUUGGUUCUGGCAUCGAUGAAGAACGCAGCGAAAUGCGAUAAGUAAUGUGAAUUGCAGAAUUCAGUGAAUCAUCGAAUCUUUGAACGCACAUUGCGCCCGCCAGAAUUCUGGCGGGCAUGCCUGUUCGAGCGUCAUUUCAACCCUCGAGCUCCCCUUUCGGGGGGAGCCCGGCGUUGGGGACCCGGCGCUAACAACGCCGGCCCCGAAAUGGAGUGGCGGCCCGUCCGCGGCGACCUCUGCGUAGUAACAACCACUCGCACCGGGACCCGGGCGCGGCCACGCCGUAAAACACCCCACCUUCCGAAUGUUGACCUCGAAUCAGGUAGGAAUACCCGCUGAACUUAAGCAUAUCAAUAAGCGGAGGGAAAAGAAAACUUCU